rnacentral:tmRNA from 1 species
GGGGCCGACUGGUUUUGACAGCAAGACCAAUUGGAUUGUAAGCAUGUCGAGCUAUGAAAUUAACGCUCGUAAAUCUCUAUUUCAACCUUUUUAAAUGGCGAAAAUAACUACGCUUUAGCUGCUUAAUCGACUGAAUUACAGUAAGUCCUAGCCUAGUCGCGCAAGGCGCGAAAGCUAAAUGUCCCUUGGUAGCCCUUGUUGAUGGCGACCUUUUUAGGGGCACCAUAAAAGUCAACAUAGCAUUAUUACGGCUUCGGUAAUGGUGUAAAACUUAAGAAGCUAAGGGUAUGGUAGGCGGUUUUUGGUCAGCCAUGCCACUAAAAUUGAACAAGAACUAAGCAUGUAGAAAGCAAUGCGGUUGCUUGUUUGGACGAGGGUUCGAAUCCCUCCGGCUCCACCU